ACCGCCCAAACUCUUCUCUCCUUCAUUCUUCAACCAACACUCAUUAACCAAAGAACCCUAACCCCCAAAGAUUUGCGCAGCCAUCCUUUACACAAAAAUCGUACUCAUAAUUCCUUCAUUGAGUUACUUUAGGAUAAGAAUCAGACGAUUUGCGUCAAUCACAGAGCCUAAUCGUCCACUAAUGUGAGAUUUCCGUCAACUGGUGGUGAAAUCGUUCAUCGACUCAAUUUAGUACCAAUCGCUGCUCUGCACAAGGGACAAUCGCCUAAGAAGGAGUGUGAAGAUACAAUAUAUUUUACUUUUUCUUGGUCAUAUGUAAAUACAUAAAUGUACAAUAUUAGAAGUAUAUCUUUAAUUUUCUGUGGAAGAACUAUUAUAAUAUUUAAUUUGAGAAGUUAUUUUGAUGAUUUCUAUAAUAAUAAUAUUGUAUGUUUCUAAUAUUGAUAUGCAGC